rnacentral:rRNA from 1 species
UACGGAGGGUGCGAGCGUUGUCCGGAAUCAUUGGGCGUAAAGGGCGCGUAGGUGGCGGGACAAGCGUGCGGUGAAAGCUUGGGGCUCAACCCCGAGUCGGCCGUGCGAACUGUCUUGCUUGAGCACUGUAGAGGCAGGCGGAAUUCCGGGUGUAGCGGUGGAAUGCGUAGAGAUCCGGAAGAACACCGGUGGCGAAGGCGGCCUGCUGGGCAGUAGCUGACACUGAGGCGCGACAGCGUGGGAGCAAACAGG